UCCCCCGUCACGUGACAACAAUAACCUAUUUGUCAGAUGAUCUUGCUGUCAUUGACAGUUGAGCGAUGACUGCAAAAUCUAAAUAUAGCUGUCCUAGUUUAUAGCAUCUGGAUAAAUAAAAUUACCAGACCAAUCCGCGUUUAGUUGUUUCCUGAUUCAUCCUUUCAUUCAACGGAACCUGGUUCCCGGGUUAAUAUCGGACGUUAGCAACACUGGUGUAAAACUCUGGUCGACAACUCCACCAUGGCUCUCAGCGAAGCGGAUGCACAUGAACAGAGAUUAAGCACAUGAUGGCCUCCUUUAAGCAGGCCGCCAGUGAGAAAGCAGCAGAAAUUGAUGCCAAGAUGAUGCCUGAGAUCAGUCACGCUGUUUGGUGCCAUCCAGAGGCGGAAGUUCAUGGAGUAAUGAACACCACGGUUUGCAAACGGAGCUGGAAGGCCCAGGAUGUGGCCUUAACAACCUGCCAAGCUCCUGUAAUCACACGGUCAAAAUGACACUCCUCCAGCAGGUCUCUCCAGUAACCUACUGUAAAAUGCCUUGCACUUCAUUGUCCAAAGUUAAACAGACUGGAUGCUGGAAGAACAUUUAUUUAUAGAGUGAGCGUUGUGGUCGUGCCAUGGCUACCUCCAGCUGCUUAGGGGCAGCAGGUCUGGGAUCCCCCUGCCUUCAGCAGCCACGGCCGGGCCACUGGCCCGGGGAACGUCAGGGCCUAUAAAUAUAAAUCAGCCCUCGUGUGUACGUAUGCGCCUGGCAUCUUGCGUUUGUGUGCGGUUGUAUUACAUCACUAUUUCCUGCACCCAUUCUCUCCAUUCAGAUUGACUCAUUCCAUUUACCCGAAUGAAAGGCACAUAUUAAAAAAUAUAAUUAAAAAAAAUAAAAAAA